ensembl:lncRNA
AUGUUUAAAAUCAAAAAGACUUCUGCUGCACUUCCCUACUACAUACAGUUUGCUGUUGUCAACGCAGUGAAUAUACUAAUCAAUAUUAAACCAGUUGAUCCUGUCUUGCCUUCAAAAAGAAAUGAAGGUGCUGCUGUGGCGCUGCAGCUGCCUGCUGCCUGCCUGGGAGCUAUCAGGACCCGAGAGCCAACGUUGGUGUUUGAACCCGAGGAGGGAAAAGAGAGGGAAGAAAGAUCCACAGUGUCUGGAGGAUCUGCCAGGAAGUCAGAACUAAACAGGAAAUAAAGAACGAUCAAAGCAGAAGAUUAAACCUGUCUCUCAACAAUUAAACGCAGAGAAUUGAUCUUGACCAGUCUGUACACACAACAAGUUUCCAGGAGAUCGGAUUCAAACAUCACGAGUUCAGCCACCUAACAGAGAGAAAGAAAACACUUGUUUACAAGCUUGUUGCUAGGAGACACACUGUCCUCCUUCAACGCUGGUUCGACAGCGAUGGAAACAGUUGGAACAGUCUGGAAACUGAGCUAUCAGACUUGUCUGCACCCAUAUAUUUCACUUCCUGUAACUUUACUUUCUGUCUGUCUCUCUGAUGAUUCCGGAGAUGUUGAUGUUUGGUAAAGCCGAUGGUGGUAGAAAUAAGCUUCCUGUCGGGUUACUCUUGGGAGCAAUUGAAUUUGAACACUGACCUUUGACCCUGUACUCAUUGUUUAUCUAAAUGGACCCCAUUGUUCAUUCCUGCAAUGGUUAUAGAGAAUAUAUUAUGUAAUCUAUUGAAAUAUAUUUUAUACGAACAUUUUCAUCAUAGCUGGAUGCAUAUAAAGUAAAAAAAUAAUAAUUUCGUUUUCAAAUGAUUAUGAUUUCAAACUUACCAGUAGAGGGCAGAAUUCAACCAAUUAGAAUGCUAGGAGGGAAAAAAAUUCCAAGAACAGGAGAAGCGGGAAUCCCAGAAAAUAAAGAGGAGAAGGGCUGACAUCACUCUGUGACUGCAAUGUGACACUUACGUGUGUGUGUGUGUGUGUGGGGGGGGUGUGGGUGUGUGUGUGUGUGUGUGUGUGUGGGUGUGUGUGUGUGUGUGUGUGUGUGUGCGUGUGAUUAAACAUAAAAGGUGAAUGUGAAACUAGAGCUGUUGUGAAUCUUCAACAUUCUGCAGAAGAGACCAGGUGAUUAUAUUUUUUGCUACUACUAUUAGAAUCAUUGCUGUUAAUAUUUAGUGGUAGUUUGGAUACAGAAAUAAAAAAUAUGUUAAAAAAGAUCUUCGUUAGUAUAUUUAGUUUUUAUAUUUUUUUAACAGGACCUGGGUGGAAUUUUUUAAAAUGAUCUUUUCAAACAGACCAAAGUGUAAUUAUUUUAGUAUUAAACGAUUAUUAUUGUUAAAAAUAUCAAAAGAUAAAUCAUGAUGAUGCCAUGCAAUAAUGGAUCAGGGUUUACAUUGAGGGGUUCGAGGGUUAGGUCCAGGGUUUGGGGGCCCAGUUCAGGGGUCAGGUCUGGGGUUUGGGGGCCUGGGUCAGGGUUCGGGGUCAGGUCUGGGGUUUGGGGGCCAGGGUCAGGGUUCAGGGAUCAGGUCUGGGGUUUGGGGUCCAGGGUCAGGGUUCAGGUCCAGCAGUUUCCAAAGCAGCAGCAGGUGUUGCUUCUGUGGGUCCAUGGGACACCUUGAGUGUCUGCUGUGAUAUUGUCCGUCUGCACUGGGGGGAGCUACAGCCCUUACAGUCGGUGCAGAAGGCUGCCUUGCU